CAAUUAGGCAUUUUAUGUAUGUGGUGUGGUAUGAAUAAAUGUUUGAAAUCAUAUUUUGGUCCUUACAAGACAUAUAACCCACAAAGACAGACAUGGAUAUAGCCAAUGAACUUAAAGAGGGGUUUUCCAGUAGUCCUAAAUAAAUUCCUAUAUUUCCUGUCGUUAUGACCAUUUGGGAUUGUAUUAUGAUGACCAGUGCGGUCAACUCGCGGAAUUCUAUCAUUACAGGGCAGAUGAAGCUAUUUUGAAGACGAGUGCAAAGGAUGUAAUGUCCCAUUUGUAUAUUCCCUGUCGAGUGUUUGAUCUUGGUUGUGGAAGUACUAAAAAAGCUCAGAUAUUCGUGAAUGAAUUAUUGCAGCAUCAAAACCCAGUAGAAUAUACACCAGCUGAUGUUUCAAAAGAGUCUUUAAAUGAGGUUUGUGAUGUCCUUUUCCAAAUUUAUGGAGAUAGACUUAAAGUUGAUCCAAUUUCAGGAGAUUUGGUCGAGGUAUUGCCUAAA